rnacentral:misc_RNA from 1 species
UUUCCGUAGGUGAACCUGCGGAAGGAUCAUUAUUGUAUAACCGAGGUGCGAGGGCUGUCGCUGACCCGACAGGUCGUGCACGCCCGAGUGCCCUCACACACAUCCAUCUCACCCCUAUGUGCACCACCGCGUGGGUCCCCCUUUGGCUUGUUCGGAGGGGGGCUUACGUUUUCACACAAACUUUGUAUGCAGUGUAGAAUGUAUUUUUUGUUUUUGCGAUCACGCAAUCAAUACAACUUUCAACAACGGAUCUCUUGGCUCUCGCAUCUAUUAAUAAC